GACCACAAACCAGUCUUCAUAUAUCACACCUAGGCCUACCACAUCCAAGGCUGAACCAAAUCUGCUACCAUUAGCUGAUCGCCAGUCUGUCCAAAACAUGGAGGAGCGGCUCAGGAAUAGUGCUGACCUCAAAAACCACCUGAGAACUGCACUGGCUCUUAAAGGAGGGGGAGACGUUAAAGAGUGUAAAGAGUGUCAUGGGUGCAACCUUAACACUCUCUCGCCAAGAAUGUCAACAUGCGCGGUAUAAAUGGCAAGAUUGGCUUCCAGCACCUGCAAAUAAAGGAUGUUGUAAUUGAAGUCCACGGUGGGAAUGAUGGACUGCACGGACAGCGCUGCUUCAUUUGGACUUCUGUGCCCUUUGUUAAUUUUUUACUAAGACUUUAGCCUCCCUGAUUUUAUUUGUUUUCCUUUUG